UCCAAAGAUGCCCAACCGCCGACUUUCC
rnacentral:piRNA from 1 species